GAUGAACGCUGACUGAAUGCUUAACACAUGCAAGUCAACUUGAACUUCGGUUUGGGUGGCGGACGGGUGAGUAACGCGUAAAGAACUUGCCUCACAGAUAGGGACAACAUUUGGAAACGAAUGCUAAUACCUGAUAUUAUGAUUAUAUGGCAUCGUAUAAUUAUGAAAGCUAUAUGCGCUGUGAGAGAGCUUUGCGUCCCAUUAGCUAGUUGGAGAGGUAACGGCUCACCAAGGCGAUGAUGGGUAGCCGGCCUGAGAGGGUGAUCGGCCACAAGGGGACUGAGACACGGCCCUUACUCCUACGGGAGGCAGCAGUGGGGAAUAUUGGACAAUGGACCAAGAGUCUGAUCCAGCAAUUCUGUGUGCACGAUGAAGUUUUUCGGAAUGUAAAGUGCUUUCAGUUGGGAAGAAAAAAAUGACGGUACCAACAGAAGAAGUGACGGCUAAAUACGUG
rnacentral:rRNA from 1 species